AUUAUUUCUGGCGCUUCACACAGAUUAACAACCUUGUUGUCACGGCAACCCUUUCCAGCCGAGAGUGCUGCUUCUCUGUGAUUGGCUCUGUCUGGGAGAUGCUUUAAUGUACUCAUCUCGUUUGCUUAGAUUUCUCUGCCUUUUUCAUCUGAUUUCCCUGCUUUGGGGAUGAAGAGCCGUCUCGGGUCACAGUAAUGAACACUGCAGAUGAUUGCAGAGAGUGGUGGAGGCUUGGCGCGCAGACUUGGAUUAGUUGAAUUUUUAGGGGGCUGGUUGAGGCCUGUAUUUUUUUGAUUGUUGAUACUGAAAUAUAUGGGGUGAGACAACUCUUUAAGAGGAAUGGAGAAGCAGGCCAGAUAUUGAGAAUCACCAGUCAAGCAAGAGAGGCAGGUUAUGAGUCAUUAACCAUUCCAAACCAUUCCCAAAACUCUAAAUUAUCCUCUGUGUUUCUAAUUACCCAAGUGUUGGAAGGGGGCUUAUUGAGAAUUAAACAUGUCUUGAGUGCAUUUCUCUGCUAGCUGCCUGAAUUGACUAAUCACAGAAGGGCUUAAAGGACGGAGCUACGAAGACAGGCUGAACGAACUGAAUCUGUUUAGCCUGGAACAAAGAAGAAUCAGGAGGACACGACUGAAGUCUUUAAAAUCUGAAAAGGAGUUGACAUAGUUGGAAAUGAAGUGGAGAAUGACUUGGACAGAGGGGAAGGAAACACUUCUUCACACAGAGAAUGGUCAGACUGGGCUGAACAAGCGGGACACGGUCCAUGGCAGGAAGAUGGAACGGUUUCGCCAAAUCAGAUUGUACAGCAAUGCCCCACACAGCUCAGGAGACCUGAAGGUUCAGCAGGCGUCCUCCGAUCCAACGACAGAACCAGCUUCCUCUUCUAUACUUUAUUAUUAUUAUUUGUUUAUUUAGCAGAUGCCUUUAUCCAAGGCGACUUACAGAGACUAGGGUGUGUGAACUAUGCAUCAGCUGCAGAACCACUUAGAAUUACGUCUCACCCGACAGACGCUUAACACAGAGGUUAAGUGACUAGCUCAGGGUCACACAAUGAGUCAGUGGCUGAGGUGGGAUUUGAACCGGGGACCUCCUGGUUACAAGCCCUUUUCUUUAACCACUGAACCACACUGCCUCCUCACCCAGGAACUUGAGAGCAGAUGUCAGAGAGCUACCAGCCUCUGGAGGAUAAAGGCCAGCCCAGCAGGUGUCCACACUGGGCUCACUAGACGUCUGGCCAGUAGGGUCCGCUGUGAUGAGGAGAAAGAGUCCCUGCUGGUUUUGCCCCCCUGACCUGCAGGAGCGUCAAUGCGACGCUCCCUUCAAAAUCUCCAGCGAAGACUGGUGACUUCGCACAUCCAGGAUGCGAACUCCCCUGGCUGUAUGACCCUCUGCACACCAUACAGCCAUGCUUUUACCAGGUGAGCCAUUAGGGGAUCCCCUAUGGUUAAAUAUUUUAAAUGAUUCUCAAUGAUUAUUAAUACCAUUCUAUUGGAAUUCCUAUCGAUGUGUGGUGACAUACAGUAGGUCUCCCUAAGUGUCACAUUUCUACACACACACACACAAAAGUAUCUAAAGGUGUUGCCAGUUUAUUACGAAGUUGGGUCUUUUGGUGAAAAUCAACCUGCAUAUAUUCCGAAAUAAAUACUGAAAGAAAUGACAAACCAGGGCCAACACCAGGCUAUAUGAAUGGGAGAGCUGUAGUAUGAGCUCAGAAGCAGAGUCCCAGCAAACUGAAAUAACACAACUGCACUGAACUGUUUCAGAAGAAAAUGCCGCUCUUUAGACCACAACAAAAGCAGAAAACAUAAGUGUGUUACCAAACAUCCAAGCUACCACAGGCUGAGAAGGACUUCUGUAAUCAUCUUGAGAGAAGCCCUGAAAUAAAAACAUCCACUUCUCAGCGCGCAGGAGGGAGUCGUGAUGGUUCAAGUGUAUGGAAACAGGGUGCUUAUGACACUACUGGGUUGCCAUGGAGACUCCGGGUCACCAAGGGGGGGUGUACCAUAAUGGGCUUAUUGAGUUCGCUUUCCCCUGCAUCAUCCUUUAUUUCAUUAUAAUAAAGGUGUGCUUUUAUGAAAGUAGUGCUCAUUAACUUUCAAGGAUAGCGAGCAACCAGCAGGGAGGAAAUGUAAUGUCAAGUACAGUGCUGCUCCUUAAGAAUCGAUACAUUCUAGAGAAUUGAUCCAUCAGCUGGCUUUAUAAUGUGUCAUUAGGUAGUAAAUGAAUGAAUUAAAGUCAGCAAUAACAAUACAUGAUUUUGCCAACUGCAAAAAGAAUAGCAGUUUAGUAGAUAAGUUCAAUCCUGGCACCCACUGAGUACUGGCUCCGAUUUGGGUUUUACAUGGUGCUUGUUAAGCACACUUUCCCAGCACUACAUCGCUUCCCUUAGGGUAGAAGCCUCACCUGAAUGGAGGGGCCCUUCAACACCUGGUGAGAAUAUGGUCAGGCUCGAUUGGAUACCUAAUUGCCAGUAUAAGAUGCCCUGUCUUCAGCCUUGUCCAUCACAACAUUACCCUCUCUCCUGGAUGUACUCUUACCUAUCAUGACGCAUGCAGUCUGUUUUCUAUGAUGGAUGCAGUGCUGACGCAAACACAGUCACUUGCGGUGUCCCUCAAGGGUCUGUUCUUGGGCCUCUUCUCUUUGACAUCUACAUGCUUCCCUUGGGUCACCUCAUCCGCCAGCACAGCCUCAUAUUUCACUCCUAUGCAGAUGACAUCCAGCUCUACCUAAAACUCAACCCUGGAUGUCCCUCGGCCAUGGUCUGGCUCUCAGCUUGCAUCCAAGACAUUGAGGCCUGGAUGUUUGCCAAUUUUCUUCAGCUCAACACUAACAAAUCUGAACAUCUUCUAGUAGGAUCGAAAACUCAACUCAAGAAUCUCAAUAUUGCUGCCUUGAACCUUGGAAACUGUCUGCUGCUGCCUUCCCCCACUGUACGAAGCCUUGGUGUACUUCUGGAUAGUAACCUAUCCUUUGAUGCCCAAAUCUCCUCUGUAGUCAAAUCCUCCUUCUACCACCUGCGAAACACCUCAAAGGUCUGUCCCUACCUUUCCCUCCCGGAUGCAGAGAUACUCUGCCAUGCAGUCAUCUCCUCUCGACUACUGCAACUCAGUAAAAAACAGUCGCUCGUUUCAAAUCAACUCUCAAGACCAACUUGUUCUCGCUUGCUUUCAAUGCUCUUUAAGCCUGAUAUCUGUUAUUAGCUGUUGUCUAAAUUGCUAUUUCAGGUUUUUCACUCCAUCUUAUUCGUAUGAUUCUGUAUGACACACGCAUCCACAGUGUUUAGAAUUCACAUCCUUGCCCUGUAUUUAAUGUAAUAUGCCUGUAGUUAAUGUAUUUACAUUGUAAUAUGCCUGUAUCUAAUGUAUUUGCAUUGUUUUUUACUGUUUGUAUUUAAUGUGCUAUGUCCUGUAUUUCACUGUAUUUAAUGUAUUAUGCAUUGUUCCUCACUAUCUUGUAAAGCGCUUUGUGAUGGUGGUCCACUAUGAAAGGCGCUAUGUAAAAUAAAUAUUGAUUGAUUGAUGAA